UGAUGCUUCUUGAAGUGUAAAAAUAUUUCUUAUUUGAGGCUGCUAAUGAGUGGUUCAAUAAUGUUAUUUUUCUUUUUCUGUAGAGUAGUGUGUAUAGCAUGACACUUGACCUUUUAAUAAGAGGUGUUAUGUAGAACUUAAAUUUCUUGUUGACCAAUGAAAUACAAAACUGUUUGCCAUGUUGCUGCUGGUGUAUUUGUGUUUGCCUUGUACACUUGAUUAUAUUUAGCUUGUAUAUAUCCAUUCCAUAAGUUAAAACCUAUGUCCCUAUAAUGCAUCUUCUUGGAACCUUCAGGGGCGAGUUAUUCCUUGUGAUUUUAUUGGCAUUGUGAAGAGUCAGCAGCCUGUGUACCUGAAAGGUAGCUAAGUCUUUUGCUUUAUUCUUCUUCUUGAUCACAAAGCUUGAUCUCAGUAAAGGCGGUCUUUAGAUCCUUUCCUUUGUGUUUCCUUUUUUUUUUUUUUACUUUUUUGCUUUCUUGAUGGUGACUUUAUCUGUUACAUAAUUUUCAUUGAAUUUGUGUUGCAGGUGAAGUGGUGAGUAACCACGAUGAGCUCAUGUCUAACUUUUUUGCACAGCCAGAUGCCCUUGCUUAUGGGAAGGUAAAUGAAUUAUUUUCCAUAACCUUGUCAAGGUGUUGUUUAUGGGAAGGUAAAUGAAUUAUUUUCCAUAACCUUGUCAAGGUGUUGUUUAUGGGAAGGUAAAUGAAUUAUUUUCCAUAACCUUGUCAAGGUGUUGUUUGACACUAUACAAAAUUCUGAAAUGUUUUGUUUGUUUUCCAUAUGCAAUUGCUUAAAUUCAUAUCUCGAAAUCACUGGAUUUGUUUCUAUUCAUCUGCCUCUAGUUUCCAACUUCUAUCUUAAUGCCAGGAUAUCUAACUAAAUU